UACGAAGGGGGCUAGCGUUGCUCGGAAUCACUGGGCGUAAAGGGUGCGUGGGCGGGUCUUUAAGUCAGGGGUGAAAUCCUGGAGCUCAACUCCAGAACUGCCUUUGAUACUGAGGAUCUUGAGUUCGGGAGAGGUGAGUGGAACUGCGAGUGUAGAGGUGAAAUUCGUAGAUAUUCGCAAGAACACCAGUGGCGAAGGCGGCUCACUGGCCCGAUACUGACGCUGAGGUGCGAAAGCGUGGGGAGCAAACAGGG
rnacentral:rRNA from 1 species